UACGAAGGGGGCUAGCGUUGUUCGGAAUUACUGGGCGUAAAGCGCGCGCAGGCGGUCCUUCAAGUCAGAGGUGAAAGCCCAGAGCUCAACUCUGGAAUGGCCUUUGAGACUAGAGGACUUGGGUACGGGAGAGGUGAGUGGAAUUCCGAGCGUAGAGGUGAAAUUCGUAGAUAUUCGGAAGAACACCAGUGGCGAAGGCGGCUCACUG
rnacentral:rRNA from 1 species